UGGUUACAAUAGCAGAGAGGAUACACCUGUUCCCAUUCCGAACACAGAAGUUAAGCUCUCUAGCGCUGAUGGUACUUGGUGGGAAACUGCCUGGGAGAGUA
rnacentral:rRNA from 1 species